GCCUUCGUGGUGUAACGGUAGCACACUCGGCGCAUAUUCGAGAGGUCCAGGUUCGAGUCCUGCCUAAGAUA
rnacentral:tRNA from 1 species